rnacentral:lncRNA from 1 species
GUGUGCAUACUAUAAUUGUAAAGAUAAAGGACAAAUACCCCAAUAUGGAAAUACUCGUUUCUAAUGAAGUCACAGGACAACAUAAUAAAAGAUAAACCAACAAAAAUCCAUCAACACCACUUGUCUCACAAGAAUCUAUAAGACACAUCUCUUGAACAAAACAAAAUGAAAGCUUAGAGAAAUGAUCAUAGCAAACAACAAAACAAAUAGGUAGAAUAUAAGUUAGUUCUUUCCACCAAUAUCCUUCAAAGCACAGAUCUGCUCCUCACCCAUAGCAGACAUAACGGACACGACAAGGUCCUUUCCCUCAGCAAAUCCAUCCUUGAUCUAUAAACAAAGCAAAAACCAAUCAACACAUAAUCAAUCAGAUGAUACAAAGACAUGUAAGCAAAUCCAUUUUAGCCAAAAUCAAUCAAAUGAUACAAAGACACAAUGCAACAUCAGUUCUGUACCUGAGUGAGCAGACUGUCAUCGGUGGGAAGUUUGAGGUCAUCCUUGGUGUUGCCAUUCUCAGUAAGCAGGCUCACCUACCAAACAAAAACAUUUAGAUUUUUCAGAACAUUAGAUACCAAAAGGGAUAAAUGAGCCCAUUUGUUACAAGAUUAAUUGAAUAAAAUUAUUUCAAGCGGUUUUAAUCGUGUUUGUUUAAGCUUUACAGAUCAUUCAGAGCUUAGAAAAAUGAUAUGCAGAUUAAAAAGAGAAGCUGUUUUGGGUAGCUUCUAACAUGAAAAUAUUAAAAAACAAUUUUGACUGUUUUUUUUUUUUGAAAACUCGGUAUAAACAAGAGUAGUGUUAUUUGAACAAAAGACAAUUUUGCGACAACUUAUUUUUUCUCUUUUCAUUGGUCAAAAACAACGGAGAGAGAAAAAGGAAGAGGGAGAAUAAGAGGAUAGUGUGAGUAUGAGAGAGAAAGUUGUAAAAAAGUUGUGAGAAAGUGGUUGUACAAAUAUCAUUUCUCUAUAAACAUAUACACAAAUCAACUCACCAGCCAUACACUUCAACAUAAAAAUCUCUUAGUAGCUUCUCAGAUGAAAAUAUUAAAGAUCAAUUUUGACUGUUAUAAACGUAAACACAAAUCAACUCACCAGCCAUACUCGUAACAUAAUCUAAAUUAUCUAAUCUGAUGAGUAUCAAAAUCACUUUUCUCAUAAUCCAUAACAUGUAGAGCUAAUUUGUUGCAGCUUUAAAACAAAAUAAUCACUUAAUUUGUUUAGCUUCUUCAAAUGGUUUUCAAGCUAGUAAAUGUUUCUUUUAACAAAUCUCCAAAUAAAUGAGUAUCAAAAUCACUUUUCUCAUAAUUCAUAACAAUCGAUUAAUAAUUUUAAACAAACAGACACUUUAGUCAAAGCAAACAAAACACUUACAAAUCCAUCUUCAGAGAUAUCAAUGAGCUGGUAAUCAGUACGAUUCACGUGAGGAACCUAACAAAACAAUUGUAACAAUUAUAUUAAAAAAAAAAAACUAAAAAUUUCAAACUAAAAACAGAGAUAAAUUGCACAUAAAAACAAAGAUAAAUUGCAAUUUAUGCAUACAUCACAGUUAUGAGAGGAAGGAACGAUAUCUUCAAGUUUCUUGGAAGUGAAGAUGUCAAUAGCAACAAAGUGACAUUUAGCAUGACCGUGCUUUCCAGUUUUCGAGGUGGAAACUUCAACAACCUAAUCACAAAAAAAAAAAAAAAAAAUCUAAGAAAAUCGAAUCAUAAAAACUGGAUCUGAUAAUCGGAAUCAAAACAAUUAUCACGAAUAUUAAGCAAAAACCUACCUUGCAGGGACGGUUUUUGAUAACGAUGUAGCCGUUCUUGCGGAUUGUUCCAGCUUGUUGAGGGUAAGUUUUGGAGGCACCAGCAUCGGCCUUGGAUUCGAAUUGGUGCUCUUCGUCAGACAUCGUUCUGAUUCAGGUGAGGUUGUGGCGGUGACGAAGAGCUACAAGGAGAGAUUUGUUUCAGAGUUUUUCAACCGAAA